rnacentral:rRNA from 1 species
UGGGGAAUAUUGCACAAUGGGCGAAAGCCUGAUGCAGCCAUGCCGCGUGUGUGAAGAAGGCCUUCGGGUUGUAAAGCACUUUCAGCGAGGAGGAAAGGGUGUAGAUUAAUACUCUGCAUCUGUGACGUUACUCGCAGAAGAAGCACCGGCUAACUUCGUGCCAGCAGCCGCGGUAAUACGAGGGGUGCAAGCGUUAAUCGGAAUUACUGGGCGUAAAGCGUGCGUAGGUGGUUUGUUAAGCAAGAUGUGAAAGCCCCGGGCUCAACCUGGGAACUGCAUUUUGAACUGGCAAACUAGAGUUUUGUAGAGGGUAGUGGAAUUUCCAGUGUAGCGGUGAAAUGCGUAGAGAUUGGAAGGAACAUCAGUGGCGAAGGCGGCUACCUGGACAGAGACUGACACUGAGGCACGAAAGCGUGGGGAGCAAACAGGAUUAGAUACCCUGGUAGUCCACGCCGUAAACGAUGUCAACUAGCCGUCUGUAGACUUGAUCUGUGGGUGGCGUAGCUAAC